rnacentral:rRNA from 1 species
UACGUAGGGGGCAAGCGUUGUCCGGAUUUAUUGGGCGUAAAAGGCUUGUAGGUGGCCACGCCAAGUCGGAUGUGAAAUCUCCCGGCUCAACUGGGAGGGGUCAUUCGAUACUGGCGGGCUCGAGGCCGGUAGGGGGAAGUGGAAUUCCCGGUGUAGUGGUGGAAUGCGUAGAUAUCGGGGGGAAUACCAGUGGCGAAAGCGGCACCCUAGCCUUUGACUGACGCUCAUGCGCGAAAGCGUGGGGAGCGAACGGG